rnacentral:rRNA from 2 species
UUGAAGAGUUUGAUCCUGGCUCAGGACGAACGCUGGCGGCAUGCCUAAUACAUGCAAGUCGCACGAGCUUCCGUUGAAUGACGUGCCUGCACUGAUUUCAACAAUGAAGCGAGUGGCGAACUGGUGAGUAACACGUGGGGACUCUGCCCAGAAGCAGGGGAUAACACUCGGCAACAGGUGCUAAUACCGUAUAACAACAAAAUCCGCAUGGAUUUUGUUUGAAAGGUGGCUUCGGCUAUCACUUCUGGAUGAUCCCGCGGCGUAUUAGUUAGUUGGUGAGGUAAAGGCCCACCAAGACGAUGAUACGUAGCCGACCUGAGAGGGUAAUCGGCCACAUUGGGACUGAGACACGGCCCAAACUCCUACGGGAGGCUAGCAGUAGGGAAUCUUCCCCAAUGGACGAAAGUCUGAUGGAGCAAUGCCGCGUGAGUGAAGAAGGGUUUCGCCUUGUAAAACUCUGUUGUUAAAGAAGAACCCCCUUUGAGAGUAACUGUUCAAGGGUUGACGGUUAUUUAACCAGAAAGCCACGGCUAACUACGUGCCAGCAGCCGCGGUAAUACGUAGGUGGCAAGCGUUGUCCGGAUUUAUUGGGCGUAAAGCGAGCGCAGGCGGUUUUUUAAGUCUGAUGUGAAAGCCUUCGGCUUAACCGGAGAAGUGCAUCGGAAACUAGGGAGACUUGAGUGCAGAAGAGGACAGUGGAACUUCCAUGUGUAGCGGUGGAAUGCGUAGAUAUAUGGAAGAACACCAGUGGCCGAAGGCGGCUGUCUAGUCUGUAACUGACGCUGAGGCUCGAAAGCAUGGGUAGCGAACAGGAUUAGAUACCCUGGUAGUCCAUGCCGUAAACGAUGAGUGCUAAGUGUUGGAGGGUUUCCGCCCUUCAGUGCUGCAGCUAACGCAUUAAGCACUCCGCCUGGGGAGUACGACCGCAAGGUUGAAACUCAAAGGAAUUGACGGGGGCCCGCACAAGCGGUGGAGCAUGUGGUUUAAUUCGAAGCUACGCGAAGAACCUUACCAGGUCUUGACAUCUUCUGCCAAUCUUAGAGAUAAGACGUUCCCUUCGGGGACAGAAUGACAGGUGGUGCAUGGUUGUCGUCAGCUCGUGUCGUGAGAUGCUGGGUUAAGACCCGCAACGAGCGCAACCCUUAUUAUCCAGUCGCCAG